rnacentral:tRNA from 1 species
GGUUGUAGCUCAGUGAUAAAGCACUUGCCUAGCAUGUGUGAGGUACUGGGUUCAAUCCUCAGCACCA